rnacentral:rRNA from 1 species
GACGAACGCUGGCGGCGUGCCUUACACAUGCAAGUCGAACGGUAACGGGCCUUCGGGUGCCGACGAGUGGCGAACGGGUGAGUAAUGCAUCGGAACGUACCCAUCAGUGGGGGAUAACUCUCCGAAAGGAGGGCUAAUACCGCAUAUUCUGUGCGCAGGAAAGCGGGGGACCGCAAGGCCUCGCGCUGAUGGAGCGGCCGAUGUCAGAUUAGCUAGUUGGUGGGGUAAAGGCCUACCAAGGCGACGAUCUGUAGCGGGUCUGAGAGGAUGAUCCGCCACACUGGGACUGAGACACGGCCCAGACUCCGACGGGCGGCAGCAGUGGGGAAUUUUGGACAAGGGGGGCAACCCUGAUCCAGCCAUGCCGCGUGAGUGAAGAAGGCCUUCGGGUUGUAAAGCUCUUUCGGCCGGGAAGAAAUCGCAUCUCCUAAUACGGGGUGUGGAUGACGGUACCGGAAUAAGAAGCACCGGCUAACUACGUGCCAGCCGCCGCAGUAA